GAUCGCUCUCUUUCCCCCUACCCAAGUGGGCGCACAACUUUUCGCUCCUCGCUCCCGAGCAAGCCCCGCGCGUCUCUGCCGCCAGAGCCACGAGGUGAAGAUGCGCCCUUCCGCGCGGUGCGCGCAGCCCGCUGAGGACCGAGCUCCUGGAUAAGUGGGCUGGCAGAUAAUAACAGCAUGCGGAUGAGAUACCAUCCUUGCGGUUCUCCUGCCUCCACCAAGACCUGCCCUGUCUGUGGUCACUUCAAGUCUUCUGAUGGGCUGCGCUCAGAUCUUGAGAAAUGGCCACCCUGGGGUAAAAGGGACCAUGAAUCAGGAGGUCCAGAUUUCUUUUCUUUUUCAACACUGGGGCUAACAUGUAGACGAUGCCACAGUCAUCAUCUUCUAAUAAAAUUAGAUAAAUAUAAGA